rnacentral:rRNA from 1 species
UACGAAGGGAGCUAGCGUUGUUCGGAAUCACUGGGCGUAAAGCGCACGUAGGCGGCUUUGUAAGUUAGAGGUGAAAGCCCGGAGCUUAACUCCGGAACUGCCUUUAAGACUGCAUCGCUAGAAUUGUGGAGAGGUAAGUGGAAUUCCGAGUGUAGAGGUGAAAUUCGUAGAUAUUCGGAAGAACACCAGUGGCGAAGGCAAUCCCCUGGGCCUGCACUGACGCUCAUGCACGAAAGCGUGGGGAGCAAACAGG